GCCACAUAGUGAAACUGACCAGGGCGUUUUGUCAAUUUCACACCGCCGUCUCCUUUCUAUUGGACACAGUGCUCACAAAAAAAUACACAAGACUGGCAAUUGUUGUGACAAAUCAGACUGACGUCAUUGGAUUUCUGCACAUGUGUGGACCAGUGUGCGUGUGCAGAUGGGUAUUGGUGGCCAUCUUCCAUGGACAUUUUGUGUUAGCAGCCUUCCCGCAGCCCCAAGAUGGCCCUUGUGGAGUUCUGAAUGAUGUCCUGUGACCGACUUUAUCCCUCCUGAUCCUUCGAGACCUAUCUAUGGCAUUUUGACAUGCUAUACAGGAGAAAAUAUAGGAAGAGAAAAGAAGGGAAAGCUCAGGAAAACAAUGAAAGCUCAGGAAAAUCUUGAUCAAUGAGCCAAAACUGCCUGGAAAAAUAAUGGAAUCUCAACAUCACACAACAUCAUUAAAGUGUAAAUGGGCCAACAAUUUCAGGGAAUGAAGAGAUAAGCCAUGAGUCGUGAAUUUCUGGAAAUUGACGGCUGAUUUCUGUCAUUUAACUGCUUGCUUUGUUUAAACAGUGUAUCACCCUCAGCAUCUCUGUUAU